UGGGGAAUCUUGCGCAAUGGCCGAAAGGCUGACGCAGCGACGCCGCGUGUGGGAGGACGCCUUUCGGGGUGUAAACCACUGUUGCCCGGGACGAACACGUGGUUUCGACCACGCUGACGGUACCGGGUGAGGAAGCACCGGCUAACUCCGUGCCAGCAGCCGCGGUAAUACGGAGGGUGCGAGCGUUGUCCGGAAUCAUUGGGCGUAAAGGGCGCGUAGGUGGCCCUGGUAAGCGUGCGGUGAAAGCUCGGGGC
rnacentral:rRNA from 1 species